rnacentral:tRNA from 1 species
GCUCUCGUAACUCAAAUCGGAAGAGCUGGCGGCGGCUGACAAGAUACGCAGUUCGCUGAGUGCCUGGGUUGCGGGUUCGACCCCCGCCGAGAGCU